rnacentral:rRNA from 1 species
CAGCCGCCACGGUAACACGAGGGGGGCAAGCGUUGUUCGGAUUUAUUGGGCGUAAAGGGUGCGUAGGCGGUUUGGCAAGUCUUGUGUGAAAUCUUCGGGCUCAACCCGAAGCCUGCACGAGAAACUGCCGGGCUUGAGUAUUGGAGAGGUGAGUGGAAUUUCCGGUGUAGCGGUGAAAUGCGUAGAUAUUGGGAAGAACACCAGUGGCGAAGGCGGCUCACUGGACCGACACUGACGCUGAGGCGCGAAAGCGUGGGGAGCAAACAGGAUUAGAUACCCGCGUAGUCCCUGUCUCUUAUAC